rnacentral:rRNA from 1 species
AUUGAACGCUGGCGGCAGGCCUAACACAUGCAAGUCGAAUGGUAACAGGAAACAGCUUGCUGUUUCGCUGACGAGUGGCGGACGGGUGAGUAAUGUCUGGGAAACCGCCUGAUGGAGGGGGAUAACUACUGGAAACGGUAGCUAAUACCGCAUAACGUCGCAAGACCAAAGAGGGGGACCUUCGGGCCUCUUGCCAUCAGAUGUGCCCAGAUGGGAUUAGCUAGUAGGUGGGGUAACGGCUCACCUAGGCGACGAUCCCUAGCUGGUCUGAGAGGAUGACCAGCCACACUGGAACUGAGACACGGUCCAGACUCCUACGGGAGGCAGCAGUGGGGAAUAUUGCACAAUGGGCGCAAGCCUGAUGCAGCCAUGCCGCGUGUAUGAAGAAGGCCUUCGGGUUGUAAAGUACUUUCAGCGGGGAGGAAGGGAGUAAAGUUAAUACCUCUGCUCAUUGACGUUACCCGCAGAAGAAGCACCGGCUAACUCCGUG